AUUGAACGCUGGCGGCAUGCCUUACACAUGCAAGUCGAACGGCAGCACGGGAGCAAUCCUGGUGGCGAGCGGCGAACGGGUGAGUAAAGUAUCGGAACGUGCCCAGUCGUGGGGGAUAACGUAGCGAAAGUUACGCUAAUACCGCAUACGAUCUAUGGAUGAAAGCGGGGGAUCGCAAGACCUCGCGCGAUUGGAGCGGCCGAUAUCAGAUUAGGUAGUUGGUGGGGUAAAGGCACACCAAGCCGACGAUCUGUAGCUGGUCUGAGAGGACGAACAGCCACACUGGGACUGAGACACGGCCCAGACUCCUACGGGAGGCAGCAGUGGGGAAUUGUGGACAAUGGGCGAAAGCCUGAUCCAGCCAUGCCGCGUGCAGGAUGGAGGCCUUCGGGUUGUAGACUGCUUUUGUACGGAACGAAAAGGUUUGGCCUAAUAAGCUGAGCUCAUGACGGUACCGUAAGAAUAAGCACCGGCUAACUACGUGCCAGCCGCCGCAGUAA
rnacentral:rRNA from 1 species